rnacentral:tRNA from 1 species
UGGGUUAUGGCUCAAUGGUAGAGCACUUGCCUUGCAAGUGUGGAGCCCUGGGUUUGAUUCUAAGUACCACAU